rnacentral:rRNA from 1 species
UACGGCUCAUUAACACGUAGUCAACCUACCCUAAAGACGUGGACAAACCCGGGAAACUGGGGCUAAUUCGCGAUAGGUCAUAUCAUCUGGAAGGCGAUAUGGCCCAAAGGGGUGUGGCGGGCUUCUUCCGCCUCAUUCGCUCUAGGAUGGGACUGCGGCCGAUCAGGCUGUUGGCGGGGUAAUGGCCCACCAAACCUGUAACCGGUACGGGCUUUGAGAGAAGGAGCCCGGAGAUGGACACUGAGACAAGGGUCCAGGCCCUACGGGGCGCAUCAGGCGCGAAAACUUCGCAAUGCGCGAAAGCGUGACGAGGCUAUUCCGAGUGUUUUCCGCUGAGGAAGACUUUUCCUAGCUGUAAAUAGGCUGGGGAAUAAGGGGAGGGCAAGUCUGGUGUCAGCCGCCGCGGUAAUACCAGCUCCUCGAGUGGUCGGGACGAUUAUUGGGCCUAAAGCAUCCGUAGCCGGUUUCGUAGGUCUCCUGUUAAAUUCAACCGCUCAACGGUUGGGCCGCAGGAGAUACCGCGAGACUAGGAGGCGAGAGAGGCGGACGGUACUCCGCAGGUAGGGGUAAAAUCCUUUGAUCUGCGGAAGA